UACGUAGGUGGCAAGCGUUGUCCGGAUUUAUUGGGCGUAAAGAGCGUGUAGGCGGUCCGGUAAGUCAGCUGUGAAAGUCAAGGGCUCAACCCUUGAAAGCCGGUUGAUACUGUCGGGCUAGAGUCCGGAAGAGGCGAGUGGAAUUCCCGGUGUAGCGGUGAAAUGCGCAGAUAUCGGGAGGAACACCAAUGGCGAAGGCAGCUCGCUGGGACGGUACUGACGCUGAGACGCGAAAGCGUGGGGAGCAAACAGGAUUAGAAACCUCAGAGUCGACGCA
rnacentral:rRNA from 1 species